rnacentral:rRNA from 1 species
ACAGGGUAUGUCUAGUACGGCGAGUGACAGGCAGAGCUCAGAUUUGAAAGGCACUUUUGUGCCGUUGUAUUCUGAAGUUAGGGUCCUGAGAAACGAUGCUUAAGUCUUCUGGAAAGGAGCGCCAUGGAGGGUGAUAGCCCCGUCUAGCAUUGACCUCAUAUAGGAUCUUAACAUGGAGUCGAGUUGUUUGGGAAUGCAGCUCAAAUGGGUGGUAUGCUCCAUCUAAAGCUAAAUAUCUGCGAGAGACCGAUAGUAAACAAGUACUGUGAGGGAAAGAUGAAAAGAACUUUGAAAAGAGAGUGAAAAAGUACGUGAAAUUGUUGAAAUGGAAGGGUAGGCCGCUAACCAUGUAGAGCCGUGUUUGGGGGGAAGAUAAAUGCUGUAGAAUGUAGCUCCUCGGAGUAUUAUAGAUGCAGUUCAUAUUCCCACCCGAGCGCGAGGAUCUCAGGUUCUACUAAAUGGUGGUCUACCACCCGUCUUGAACCACGGACCA